rnacentral:tRNA from 1 species
UAGAGUAUUCGGCUCUUAAAAGCCGAGUAGAGUACUCGGCUUUUAACCGACUAGUUCCGGGUUCGAGUCCCGGGCAACCCA